AGCUCAUCGAGGAAGGGUUGCUCUCAGCUUCCCAAUAAAAUUACGAUUCAUAUACGAAACACCCGAAAAAAAACAGAAUUCUCUGUACUUGCGACUCUACACGAAGAAGGGCCAGUCAUCAAUUCCAAUACUAAAUGUUUACAAUAAAGUAAUUAGUUCCUGAUAUCCCAUUUAGGUAAUGGUUCACACUUCUAAUGGCUGCCAAAGCAUACAAGUACGUAAAUAUUUAGCUUUUAAAGUGUCUAAACGAUGUUUUGGUAAAACAAUAUUACGGAGUUCUCGGAAUAAAGUCACAACUUUAACACGUCAAAGGUACUAGACUUACGGAUGGUAGCAGACAAUCAAAGGAUAGAAUUAUUCAUUUCAUUAAUACAAGCCUCAAUUUGAUGAUUAUGACUCGCCAACGUUAGCUGACUAUGGAAUUUUCCCUUAAAUAAUUUAUAAUAAAAUAAUAAAUAUGUAUGUGUAUCCUAAUACACUUAUAAAAUAUCCUGCUAUAGC
rnacentral:lncRNA from 1 species